rnacentral:ncRNA from 1 species
UCUAAGGAAUAAGGGUCUCAAAUUUGAUCCCUGCUAUGAUCCCCUUAGAAUAAUUCUAGUUUA